UACGUAGGGUGCAAGCGUUAAUCGGAAUUACUGGGCGUAAAGCGUGCGCAGGCGGUUAUGUAAGACAGAUGUGAAAGCCUUGGGCUUAACCUGAGAAGUGCAUUUGUGACUGCAUAGCUAGAGUGUGGCAGAGGGGGAUAGAAUUCCGCGUGUAGCAGUGAAAUGCGUAGAUAUGCGGAGGAAUACCGACGGCGAAGGCAAUCCCCUGGGCCUGCACUGACGCUCAUGCACGAAAGCGUGGGGAGCAAACAGG
rnacentral:rRNA from 1 species